rnacentral:rRNA from 1 species
UACGAAGGGUGCAAGCGUUGUUCGGAAUUACUGGGCGUAAAGGGUUCGUAGGCGGGAAUUUAAGUCAAGUGUGAAAUCCCCAGGCUCAACCUGGGACGUGCACCUGAAACUGGGUUUCUUGAGUACUAGAGAGGGUGGUGGAAUUGCUGGUGUAGGAGUGACAUCCGUAGAGAUCAGCAGGAACACCGGAGGCGAAGGCGACCACCUGGCUAGACACUGACGCUGAGGAACGAAAGCGUGGGGAGCAAACAGG